UUUCUCGAGAGAACAUUGUGGAGAACCUAACUCAUGGAUGGUUGGUUCAGUUUUUGGGAUGAAUUGAUGACAAGGAGAGCACGUUGGAAAUAGUGGAAGUGGAGACGGGAGAGGAUGAUGGGAACGAUCAAGUACAUCACAAUCAUCGGCAUCAUGUGGCUCUCCUACACCAACGCAAUUCAGGUUUGAUAAUUGAUGAGGGUGGGUGCCAUGGUCGUCUAUGCUGGGCUUCUGCACGAUCACAUCUUCCACAUGUUCGGUGCUGGAGUGGCUGAUCUUGUGGAAGGGUUACGUUUUCCUCUUCUCAUGGAUUUUGACCAUUGUUUUAGAGGGAUUCGGAUAAUGGUUCUGUGAUUUAAAUUAUGAUGGCCUGCAUCAUGCCUCCCUAUAUUUAAGGCAAAUGAUAAUGGAAGUACACCUUCAUGAACAAGCUAGCCGAGGUCUUGGAAUUCCAACCUAGGUAAACAAGUGAACUCAUUUAACGGUUUCCCCUUUUCUGGUGAUGCAGGUAUAGCUCAUUCAUUAAGGGCUACUCAGCUUUGUCUUUUUCUCUCUCUUUGGUGAUUGGAUUAUAUGCUACUCUGUGUUGAAGGAUCUGUUCAUGCUAAAUUUAACAAAUCUUGUCAUGUUUUCAUAAA